GGGAUUGGGAAUUUUUAAGAGAUCCCAGAACAUUCUAAUAUGCACACAGGUUUGGGAACCACCAGUUUUCCUGAAGAGAGUUUAAUGAAGGGACUUUAAAAAAGUUUUAUUGAGGUAUAAUUGGCACACAAUAAACUGCACAUAUUCAAAACAUACAAUUUGAUGAUAAGUUUUUAAAAACCAUCUUAACCAUUUUAAGUGUAUCAUUCCACAGUAUAUUUUUAAGUAUAUUCAUAUAUAAGUAUAUUCAUAUUGUUUGAGGAUCUCCAGACCUUUUUCAUCCUGUAAAACCAAGACCGUACCCAUUAAACAACUCCCCGUUUCCCCUCCCCCAGCCCCUGGCAACCACCAUUCUACUUUCUGUCUCUGUGACUUUGAUGACUCCAGGUACCUCGUAGAAGAGGAAUCACACAGGCCGGGCACAGUGACCACACCCAUAAUCCCAGCACUUUGGGAGGCCGAGGUAGGUGGAUCACCUGAGGUCAGGAGUUCGAGACCAGCCUGGCCAACAUGGCGAAACCCCAUCUCUACUAAAAAGACAAAAAAAAAUUUAGCUGGACAUAGUGGCGCACGUCUAUAAUCCCAGCUACUCGGGUGGCUGAGGCAUAGAAUCGCUUGACCUAGGAGGCGGAGGUUGCAGUGAGCUGAGAUCAUGCCACUGCACUCCAGCCUGGGUAAUAGAGCAAGACUCCAUCUCAAAAAACAAACAAAAAAAAAAGGAAGUGGAAUUACACGAAUGUCUUUUUGUGACUGACUGAUUUCACUAGCAUAAGGUCCUUGAGGUUCAUCCUUGUCGCAUAUGGCAGGAUUUCCUCCCUUUUUAAGGCUGAACAAUAUUCCGUUGUAUGUAUGUACCACAUUUUCUUUAUCCAUUCAUCUGUCCAUGAGCAUUGAGGUGACUUCCAUCUCUUGGCUAUUGUGAAUAAUGCUGCUAUGAACACGGGGUUCCAGGCAUCUCUUUGAGACCUUGCUGUUAAUUAUUUUGAAUAUAUAUGCCCAGAAUUGGGAUUGCUGGGUCAUGUGGUAAUUCUAUUUUUAGUUUUUUGAGGAACCACUCUACUGUUUUCUAUAUCAGCCACACCAUUCUACAAUCCCACCCACAGCGCACAAGGGUUCCAAUUUCCCCACAUCCUCGCCAACACUUGCUAUUUUGUUUCUUGGAUAGUAGCCAUCCUCAUGGGUGUGAAGUACUAGCUCAUUAUGAACUUGAUUUGCAUUUCUCUAAUGAUGAAUGGUGCUGAGCAUCUUUUCAUGUGCUUGUCGGCUGUUUGUAAAUCAUCUUUGGAGAAAUAAUGAAAGGACCUGGUAGGGGAUGAUGAUGCACCAGAGACUAGUGAAAGCAGCACGUUGUAACCACCUCUAGCUCUGUGGGCCAGAGGAGAGCACUGGGUACCAGAAUCACAGAUCAGGAGCUGUGGAAGGCGCUGCCCGACAGGAUGGGGGACCCUGGGAGAGGGAUGCAGCCACAUCCAAACUGUGGCCCAGAAGAGGGAGUGGGAAAAGUCCUCGACCUCUCUGUCUUCCUGCUGUCUUCCAAUAUCCUACCUGGGUGAGGUCAGCCUCCUGGGGAUCAGAGCAGGGCAGGGAGGGGUGAGAAUGAAUCCACUGGUGGUGGGGGCAAGGGGCAAAUAGAAUCACCCAAAAAAGAGGUAUAUGUUGCUGACUCCAUUUUACAGUCGGGGAAACUGAGAGUCAUGUUUGGCACAGUUUAGAGGGACUUGGACCAAGAUUUGGACUUUGCUCUAGGUGAUGCCAGCCUGAUUAUUCUAACCUGUAAGCUACACCACCUUCUGGCAGUGGGCAGUGCCCAAUGGGGGAGGGUGCGGGGGCAGUGCCCUUCCCGCCAGAUGCCACCCCUCCCUUGAGCUUGGUCGAGGGUGAUCUGCCUUCUCCUUCCUUCCUCUUCCAUUUAGAAAGCAACGGGUCUGAAAGGUAAUUCUGUUCUUGAUGAGGGUGCAGGCAGCAGAGGGAAUUGUCAUCCUGCUGAAGACACACAGCUCUUCCAUGCUCUACCCUAUGUGUAAUUUGUUCUUAUCUGCUCCUGGAGCCACCACCUGCUACAGUGUAAAGAGACCCCACAGACUCUCUGGAUCAAACUACUCACUGUCCAGAAGGAGAAAAUGAGGUCCUAUGUCUGUGGCUAGAACCCAGGCCUCUGGGGAGCAACCCAGGGCUCCAUCCAGGGUGACCUGAGCCUGCUCUGCUCAUCAGAGCCAGUCUUUACCACCCUUCAUAUCCCGGGAGCCCACAGGUAGAAAGAUGGGCAUUGCAGGUCACCGUGGUUCCCCCACUGAAGCAAGUUCCCUGGCUCGCGAUUAGCCAGUGCUCUGCUGGUUCAUGAUGCGCUCCAAAUGCUAGACCAAGAAAGAAACUGGGUCGGUGGGCAGGACACAGGACCAGCGCUCUGGGAGGAGAGCUGUUCUCAAGCAGUUUGGUGGCAUCAGAGCCUCUGUGUGGUCAGUCAAGCAGGGCAGCCAAUUUCCUCUCCUUUCAGCCCUAACUCUGGACUCCUGUACCUGGAGGGGCUCCCUUUGUGCUCCUGCAGCCCAGAAGCCCUCCGAGGCUUGACAUGAAAGAGUCGCGGGAUCUUGGACUGUUCCGGUGGAAGGGCUCCUAGCAAAACCCAGAUGUUUUCUCUUCUUGUAUGGAUGGGAGGACCGAAGUCCAGAGAAGUGGAAUAACUUGCCCAGGGUUGUGCUGAGAUUUGUGAAGGUGCCGGAUGCUGGUGUGCUGGUGGCUGGCAUGCUCUGAGCCCUUCCUUCCCGCUGUUUCCCUGGAGUUCUGCUUGGCAACCACCCGCCUGCAUUUUUGCAAAGUGAUGUCAUCUGCAGAUAAUGGUUUUUCCGUUCCUGGUGGAGCAGGAGUUCCAGAUACAGUGCUUCGGGGGAGGGGCUCAAGAGAGCUGAUUGUGCACUCCUCAGGCAAGUGGGGGCUGCAUAGACCCCCUCCCCUCUGACAGUCACAUCUCAGUUGUAAGGCAAGGCACCGUCUCAGGCUUCCUGGACUCCGGAACCUGGAAUGACCAAAAUGGCAGAGGCCCCAGAGACAAGCCUCCCCUGCCUCCUCCUUGUAGAGUUGGGAAUCUGAGGCCCAGAGAGGGCAGAGCCUUGCCCAAGCUCACACAGCAUUUACAGGCAAAACCUUGACUCACAUCCCGACUCCUAACAUCUGUGGCCACUUGCCCGUGGUUGGGGGUUUUUCACCCUCAACACCGUUGACAUUUUGGGCCAAGGAGUUUUGUUGUGGGGGCAGUCCCUUUCAUGGCAGGAUGUUUGGCAGCAUCCCUGGCCUCGACCUCCUACAGGCCAGUAGCACCCCUCUCCAGUUCUCAAAUCCAGACACUGCCAAAUGUCUUUCACCUAAGUUGGGGUGGGAGAAAGUAACCCUCCAGCUCCUAAGACCUUUAUCCACUGCCAUAGGCAGGAGAGGUUUCUUGAGUCCAAGCCCAAAGGGUGCUUUGUCUGAGGCUCUGACUUAACGUCAGGCACCUUCAGGAUGGGAGGCAGGCCUGGAGGGGGCUAUGAGGGGCUGGAGAUGGUCCAGGCCCUCCUUCUGGUUAGGAACACUGCUUCCUCUGAUCACUUUUCUUGGAGCAAAACUGCCGAUUUAUUUUCCUGGGGAAAUAAAAAUAAAUGCUGGCUGUUGUAAUCUCAUCCCUGAUCCCAUCUGGAAAAAGCAGGCUCAUGAAUCUUGGCCGCCUGAGCUCUGAGGACUGUGUCUGGCGGAACCUGGAGUUACAAUGGGCCUUCGAACAUCGGAACAGUCACGGCUGACAUUUCCUUUCCCGUUACAUGGCUCCUUGGAAUGUGAGCCCCAGGGGGCCGUCCGUGGGCAGGCGGAAUUUGGUGGAAAGAAGUGCUGCACGGGCCGGAGGCCAGCUCAGCUUCUGACUUGCUGUGUGACUUUGGGCCACUUUUCUGUUCGUUUCUGGGCCUUGAUUUCUCCAUCUGCAGAAUGAGGGGAGCCACGUUCCUCAACAAGGGGUCCAUGGACCACCUUGUAUCAGAACCAUUUAGGGAAUGUGUUUAUGGCUAUUCCUGAUAUUUCUGAUUCCUCUUCCAGACCUCCUAAAGUUUUUAUGCAUCUCUAAGUGAUUUCGAUAUAUAUAAGUUUUGGGACCCACAACACCAAGGACUUUGAACUUUCCACCCAGUUUCAAGUUUGAACACAUCACAGUUCUUCAGCCUCCUUCCCCCUCAUAACGAAGUGUAGAGUUAUGAAGCUAGAGGGUAAAAUUAUGGGGUGGGCUGGAACUGGGCAUUGCUCCUAACAAUUAUCUGCUUUCAAACUCUUGGCAGGGUCUCUGGGGUCCUUGAUCCAACUGAAAUCACUGUUAAAGCACUUUAUUCCUCCAGUAAUGAAACUCGAGCUGCUAGUUACAGAGUUUGGUUUCAAAAUUGUGCCAUUUAUUAUUUUUGUUGGAUUGGCUUAUAAACCCUCAUAUAGUCAUACAUCAUUUAUAAUGCAUUAUUCCAUGAGAAUGCAUUUUCCAGAUGAGAUUUAUUUUUUCUGUUAAAAACUUAAAACUGUUCUUUUUUUUUUUUUAAAUGGCAGUCUUUCGCCAUGUGUUACCUAUUUAUACCACCUUAAGUGAAGGUCAGGAAAUGCAAUUUUACUUAUUCUCAAUGCUCCAGGGUUGUCAUUGUGAGUUUUAACUACUGUAUGCAUUGAUGUAAAUUUUAGGGACUCCAAAACUCACUGUGCCUGAACUAUGAAUGUCCCCCAAGCUGCUUAGCCCUUGUGUCUGCUUUUAAAAGUUCUGCUUUGCUUCUAUAUUUUUAAAGAUUUCUUCCUCAUGAGAUAUCAGCAGUUACUUCUCACCACGUUAUCAUGACUCCUUUGGAUGAAAAACCAAUAACCAGUGUGUAUCAGGAUUGUCUGUAGUGUAAGAGUUCAUAAUCAAUGAAUGAGAGGACUCUCUGAUGAGUCAGGGAUGUGGAUUUUUGACAUUUGUUUUGGCAGCUGAGAAUAAGGGGUAGUUUUUUUCUUUCUAAUUUUCACCCCAAUAGCAGCUGCUUUCUGAGAGUUUUCUAGAUAAAUGUGAAAUGAGUGUAGAUCGAUUUUUCCAUGUAACUAAUUUACAUUCUGGGUGAACUCAUUUUGCUUCUGACUUAGAGGUGCUUUCAUUUCCUUCUCAUCUGCACCCUGUUCUUGGAGAAGCUGCUCCACCCCUAGCCCAUGAUACAUGAUGCAUGACCCAGCCCACUGGGCCCCCUGAUGCCACCUGGGCCAAUCAGAUUUUCCAGUCAGGAAAUUUGCAAUUGAGAUUCAGAGCUGGAAAGAGUCACCUGCUCUGAUGGGAGCUGCAUUUGUGGACUGUGACUCAGAGGCUGAGGCCCCAGGGAGCCGACCCCAUGGGCCCUGGGCAAGCCCAGAGUGAAUGUGGAAGCCGGGCUGUGGAGGUUCCCUGAGCAGACAGUCCGGGUGGUCACGGUGUCUACAAUUCCAUCACCAGAUCUUCCAUUUCCAGGAGUAACCCUGGGCAGGUGUAUACCAUGUGUCUUGUUUACAGUGGGGAUUAAUAGUUCAAGGAGCCCAAGGAGGGAAGGACCGGAUGUACUCUGCAAUCCCAGAAAACUCAAUGGGCUGAGGCAGGAGGACCUACUGGCCAUUGAAGACUGUCCACUCCUGGUCCAGAUUCCAAGUGACCAGGCAGAAAGAGCAUGGACUUUGGAGUUUGAUUGCCUGGCUUUAAAUCCCCCUGCUCCACUCGCUACUGUGGUGUGGACUCAAACUUGAGGUACAGUCAUCCUAUGAAGGAUCAGAGCUGGAAAGUGGGGGCCUGGCUCAGGGAGCAGCAGAACCAGAGCAGAAGCUGAGCUGGAGAUGCCCUGAUGGGGCCGAGGUGGAGGCUCAGGCCUGGGAUGGGCAGUUGGACCAGCAGGUCCAAAACAGCAGAAGCCAAGGCAGGCAGCGGUCUUGGAGAUGCCCUCUGACCUGCCGUGGACUGGAGCCUCUAAGAUGCUUCCUCCUGAGGCUGGAGCUGAUGACUGGCAUCCUUGGGAUGUAACCUGCGUGCAGCCGGCAGAUUCAACAAAUAUUCAUGCUGGAAUGGGAUGCAGAAGUCACCUACUUUCAGAGAUGGGGAAACUGAGACCCAGAGAGGGCACAGCCUUUUCUCGGGGGCCUCCAGUGACUCAGAGUCAAAUCUGUGCUUCUUGGCUCCUGGAUCUCUGAGCUGCACCCACUGGACCCCUAUGCCAACCCCAGCACCCCUGUUCUCCAUGGCGGCCCCGCCCUGAGGAUUUCCUAUGCCUUUCUACAGAGCUUUCUCCUUCUCCUAGAUCCCUUUUCUGCAAAACGAGGCUGGGGAGUUCUGAGCCAAGCCCAGGCCCACGUGCCUGGAACCAGAGACAGCGUAAGGAGCAGACACUGCCAGGUCACUUGCAGCAGACUCCAGGAGGAAAUGAGGGAAACAGAACCUCAGCCGUAGCCUAGCCAGGGCUCUCAGAGCCUAGAAAGCUCUUAGGAGAAGUGGAGAGUUGUUCAGAUCCAGGCUAAUUUGUCAUCUCCAGCCCUUCUCUGGUGAUCAGCUUGCCUCUUCCUCUACCUGCCCCUAUAGGUAGAGGAAGCUUGCCCUUCCUCUCCUGCAUCUUCUCCUCCCCUUUCUGUCACAUGCCUUCUGCUUCUUGAGGCCUCUGCCUCAUUGUAGUUUCUCUUGCUGUCCAGUUCCGGUGAGCUCAUGGCUUCUGUAGCCCAGUUUCUCUUUGCUUCCCUUUGUGAAUCUUUCCUGCUUCGACUCUCACUCCCAACUUCUUAACUUACACUCAAUGCUCCCAGAGGGAGGACUUGAUUGGUUUGGAAGUCCCCCACCAGGACAGGCCAAGGAUUAAGUGAGUUCUUAUAUGAGGUCUCUGAUUCCCUAACUCCAGCUAGGUGUUCAAUUAUUCAGUUCAAUUCUGACACCAACUCCAGGAGUUAGUGCAGACCCCAAGGUUUAGGGCUCAGCCCCACAGGGCUGUCCCCCUUUAGCCACCAGUCACACACAAGUCCAGGGACCAUCUGUACAUCUGACUGCCUGGCUCUGAAUUUCAGGGUUCCCAUAACCUCCCCUUCUAGUUAGAUCAUUCACUAGAACAAUUCACAAAACUCAGCAAGUGCUUUACUUACUAUUACCAGUGGAUUAUAAAGGAUACUACUCAAGAACAGACUCAUGGAAGAGAUGCAGGGAACAAAACAUGGGGGAUUUGCACAAAGCUUCCACGCCCUCCCAGCGAGUCCCUGUGUUCACCAGCCCUGAAGCUCCCAAACCCUGUUGUUUAGGGGUUUUUCUUGCAGUUUCAUUAUGAUGGAUUAAAUCAUUGGCCAUUGGCGAUUGAAUUCAAUCUCCAGCCCAUCUUACCCCCAUGGAGGCUGUAGGGGGUGUGGGGGUAACCAGCCCUCAUCAUGAAGCUCUCUAGGGCUCCUCCAUAAGUCAUCUCAUUAGCAUAUGAAAGGCAAUACGUUCAGGGGUUUUAGGAGCUCUGUGCCAGGAAUUAGAGACCAAGACCAAAUAUUUAUAUUUUAUACCACACCAGGCCACUUCUCAGCCCACUGGCCAACUUCAAGAUUGACUGCUGUUAGGUCACAAUACCCACUUGGCCAGGGGUAGAGAUCACUCAGUAUCAUGUGUGGUGUAAGCUGUUGAGAUUAGGCAUAGACAGUGGCAGGUGACUGACGGGCUGGACAACUGACAGAUGCUCACCUUGGCCAGUGUAGGCACAGAUAGGGCAGGACCCCAUUUGUUUAAGUGUUCCAUCCUCAGAAAUCCCCUCUCCCCCACUUCUUCCUUCUCUUCAUUCCUUCUUUGCUAUUUUUAAAUGGCACAUUGGAAAUAAAACAAUUGUCAAUGUAUUCAGCCCUCCCGCAGCGGGCUGCCAAUCAGCACAGUCCAGCCUACCUCCGCUUCCAUUCCCUCCACCUUAGCCCUCACCUCCCUCUUUGCUCUUGCCCCCGUCUCCGGGCACUCAGGUCUCUGUUAGUUUCUCAACAGCUUUGCAUAUGCUGUUCCCUCUAUUUGGAAUGCUCUUCCCCAUCUCCCACCCCUGGCUGGCUUUUCCUGGCCACCCACUCUGAAUGAUGCGCUCCUCUUACAUAUGUGCCCUGUGUGUUUCUUUACUGAUACUUGUCAGCCUGCUGAUCGACUUAUUUGCACAAACAUUUAAUAAAUCACUGGACCGUCUGCUGUAGGCGGGCAGAGAUCAGAUCUGUUUUGUCUUGCUCAGUACUGUGCAAUAACACCUAGAACAGGCCUGGCUUGGUAGAUAGCUAUUGAAUAAGUGAGUGAAUGGAUGAAUGUCAUUGAAUCAGAGAUGAUUAUGAUUCACAAAGGCUUAUAUGUAUGAGUGAAUUUGAAAAAAUAGAAACAACUUGAAUAUUCAAUAAUAGCCAAUUAAAAAUAUAGUAACCUACAAUGGAAUUUGCAUGGCA
rnacentral:lncRNA from 10 species